GGAUCCGUAGCUCAAUCAGCAGAGCGCCCCGUUGUCUGCGGGAGGGUUGAGGGUGCGACUCCCUUCGGAUCCGCCA
rnacentral:tRNA from 1 species